rnacentral:rRNA from 1 species
UCUAUGUUGCCAGCACGUAAUGGUGGGAACUCAUGGGAUACUGCCGGGGUCAACUCGGAGGAAGGUGGGGAUGACGUCAAAUCAUCAUGCCCCUUAUGUCUUGGGCUUCACGCAUGCUACAAUGGCCGGUACAAAGGGCUGCAAUACCGCGAGGUGGAGCGAAUCCCAAAAAGCCGGUCCCAGUUCGGAUUGAGGUCUGCAACUCGACCUCAUGAAGUCGGAGUCGCUAGUAAUCGCAGAUCAGCAACGCUGCGGUGAAUACGUUCCCGGGUCUUGUACACACCGCCCGUCAAGUCAUGAAAGUCGGUAACACCUGAAGCCGGUGGCCUAACCCUUGUGGAGGGAGCCGUCGAAGGUGGGAUCGGUAAUUAGGACUAAGUCGUAACAAGGUAGCCGUACCGGAAGGUGCGGCUGGAUCACCUCCUUUCUAAGGA